AGUGAACGCUGGCGGCGUGCUUAACACAUGCAAGUCGAACGAGAACGGAAUAUAGCUUGCUAUAUUUGUCAGCUAAGUGGCGCACGGGUGAGUAAUGUAUAGAUAACCUGCCCUUAAGAAAGGAAUAACAGUUGGAAACGACUGCUAAUGCCCUAUAUGCCUUUAAUACAUAAGUAUGCAAGGGAAACGCUUUAGUGCUUAAGGAUGGGUCUGUAUGGUAUCAGCUUGUUGGUGAGGUAAUGGCUCACCAAGGCUAUGACGCCUAACUGGUCUGAGAGGAUGAUCAGUCACACUGGAACUGAGACACGGUCCAGACUCCUACGGGAGGCAGCAGUGGGGAGUAUUGCACAAUGGACGAAAGUCUGAUGCAGCAACGCCGCGUGGAGGAUGACACAUUUCGGUGCGUAAACUCCUUUUAUAUAGGAAGAUAAUGACGGUACUAUAUGAAUAAGCACCGGCUAACUCCGUGCCAGCAGCCGCCGUAA
rnacentral:rRNA from 1 species